rnacentral:snRNA from 1 species
AAACUUAGCAGCGAGUAUGAAAA